AACCAACCUUAGAUUCAUAGUUCAUUAAGAGAGAGAGAGAGACCAAAGUUAUAGUGAAGAUUUUAAAAAGAUCAGAUUAAAUUCUGCUGGUGUUCUCAUUGACUUGAAAUACUGUGUGACAGGACUCAGUGCCAAGUCACCUUUAGCAAUUGCUUUUUUCCUCACCCGUGCUCAGUUUCUAUUGCCAUCAGUAGGGGUAAUAAAAGGCAAUAAAAGCAAGAGGCAAAAACAAUAAAAGGACAGUAGUGUUGCUUGAGUUUUCAAAUGACUCAUAGGUCCUUGUUUUUGGUCUUUCCAUGAAUAUGCAUGAUAUUUACUUUUCCUUGCCAAGUCACCUGAUUUCUCAAGUCCUCGUUUAGGAAAUGUGAUAGAUAGGAAGGUAUGGCAUUGACUCUCAGAGAACUGUGUUUGUUACAAGUGCCUUUUGUUUUAUUUUUACUGUACAAAGUGCCAUGUAAUUUCAAGACCUGAUUAUUUAUACUCCAAGGCUAAAGAAGGUAAGGAUUAGUCCCUCUAUUUUUUUAUUCCUAUUUUUCCUAGGCAUUUCUGCUUUGCUAAACUUUUAGAUUCCAAGAUAUUAUUUGCCAAAUCAGUGAUCUACAUUUUGAUGUCUCAUGUACAAAUACUAAUCUCUUUAGAAUAACUGAAAAUGUUCAAUGUUUUAAGGAUUUUAAAUAAUACAUCAUUGUGAUGAAUUUGAGAAAUCAUUCCUUUCCGAAGAAGACUUUGCUAAAAGCAUUGAGUACCUGAAAAGUAAAUGAACAAAAUUACCCUAAAUUCAUGCUAUAUAUGUGUGUAUUUUAUGUACAAUUUUUUAUACACGUAUUCCUUGCUUAACCAUCACAGCAAUAUAUGUGAACGAGACUUCAGUGCCCCCAUUUUGCAAAUGAGAAGUCUGAGACAGAAUUAGUAAGUAGCUUUUCUUCUACCCCAGCUGGUAAACAGAACCAGAAUUUGAAGCCAGGUCUGCAAGUUCCAAAAUCUACAUACUUAAACCCUAUACUCUACUCUUUCCUUUUUCAUUUGUUUAUUAAUAAUAAUAAUAAAACAUUUUAAAAUCUACUUUUUAUAUUAUGGAAAAGAGACGUGCCUAAAGCCCUCAUUCUUUCUAGUCUCUAAUCCAAAUCCUAAUAAGUGAGGUCAUGCUUCCCAAACUAAAGCUGAAACUUUUGUGAAAUUCGGUGCAAGUUCUUUAAUUAAACUAGCAGAUUCAUGAAUGCACAAUAUAAGAAUUCAAAGAAAAAAAAAGACACUGGCACACUUAUACCAUCUGGACAAAGAGCCAUAGUCUGAAAACCUAUUUGUGUAGAAAAAAUUGAAUCCUAGCUCUCAAAUGCUCUAUUUCAGAGCCCAUGUUAAAAUACCUUAAAAAGAACAUUUUUGGAGAAAAUAUUAGUAACUUAGUGUUAGAAAUACAGUAAUAAAGAAUGAAUUACAUUUGCUUUGUAGAUCUUUCUUCUUUUUUUCCCCUUAAUCAUCCAUUACUGUUAUCUGCUGGUAAUAAUAAAAACGACAUUGUCUUAUCUUGGAUUUUGAGGAUUUCUUAGUAUUAAGUCAUUGUUACUAGAUGAAAGGAAGUUGAGUGCUUAGAACUUAAGAGACUUACUCAAGAUUACAACAGUGGGUCAUUUACUUAGCCAAAAAGGGAGCAAGAAACUUCCAGGUUGUAAGUGUUUUUUGCUGGUGACUCAAUCUGCCUUUUCUCUGUUGCUUCCCCUUCAAACCCAAGGACUUCAAGUGCAGGAUGAGUGGGCUUGUUCUUCAGUGUGACUAUUACUGCUGUUCUCUGACGAGACACCAACUUGAAUUAGGAUUUGUCUCUGGAAAACAAAGCUGUUGCAGUUCAGUCAGUCUAGAGUCAAGCAGGCAUAAGGAAUGAGACAGCAUGACUCAUUGACCUCUUAUUUUGAAAUGUAGUUUAUACUCACUAGGUAUCUACCUGGUAUGUUGUAAUAUUUCAGGGGAAGCACUGUUAGCCUGACUCAUAAGUAUCACUCUUCACUGGACAUGAGUGAUUUCUAGAAUUUAUUUCUCAUGAAAAAGAUUUUAUAUGUAAUGCUAUAGCACUUAGAAAUUAAUUUUAGGUGUUCCUGCUAUGGCGCAAUAAGUUAAGAAUCCAACUGCAAUGGCUCAGGUCACCGUGGAAGUGCAGAUUCGAUCCCUGGCCUGGCGCAGUGGGUUAGAGGAUCCAACGUUGCCAUGGCUGCUGCAUAGGUCACAGCUGGGGCUCAGAUUCAUUCCCUGGCCUGGGAGCUUCCAUAUACUAUGGGUGCAACCAUUAAAAAGGAAGGAAAGAAGGAUGGAAGGAAGAGAGGAAGAGAGAGAGGAAGGAAGGAAGGGAAAGUUUUAUGUAUGUAUUGAUCAUUCUAAAUUAUCAAGUUAAUUCUUCUUUAUGUCUAUUCCCAAUUCUAAACUAUUACCGUUUUAUUUCCUAUACUGCAGUUGUCUCCACUACCAUUUUUCUCAUGAGCUUUGAUUACAUAAAAUUUGCCUUAUUGACCUAUACUUUGACAUCUUUUGUGAAACAAGUCAGAAAUUAUUCCGAUUGGACUGGAACAACUGGAACAUUUCAUCUUCCUUUAAGUAUUGCCUUUUUCUUCUCCCUGUAGGGCCCCCAUGGAUAGACAAUAUUGCUAAUUUAAUUUUAAACUUUUAAUUACAUUUUCUAAAUUCUUCUGAUCACUUCCUACCUUCCUUAUGUAAUAAUGGUCAUUGCACAUGAGAAUACAUGCUCUCAGUCGAGCAAUGUGAUUUCAGUUCCUAUGUCCAGGUCAUAUGAUAAUCCUCAAAGCUGUUGCAACAUCCACUAGUCAUUCCUGGAAUGUACUUCCUCCUCCUCCUCAAAUACGUCUCUUGUCUCUGUUAAAAAAUGCUAUUAAAUUCCCUUCUGUGGAUUUCUUACCUGCCCACAAUACUUUCUGAAUUUAUUGUCUUCAGAGAGUAGAAAAUAGAAAUAAGACUAAGAGAAGAGGGUGUGUUCAUUAUAGCCCUGAUCAUCCCUUUCCAUAAGCAAUCCAGGAAAACAUCCACAUUCUUCCAACCAUAUAUGCCAGCUUUCCUGCUUCUGUAAUGUUAUAUUUUCCUUCUUUCCUAUUAUAACAGAUUAAUUAUCCAUGAUCUUGUUUAGAGUCAAACCUUCCACUUGUGCACUGGAUUCUCUCUAACGGCUUGACUUCAUUCAGGUUUGCUGCUUCGUUGUCAUUAAAAAGACCUCUAAGAACUUAAAUUAGCAGCUCUCCCACACCAUUGCCUUCUGUCUCCUCAGCCAGUUUUACUUUUCUUCGAGGCAAGUAUCAUUACCUGAAAUGAUAUUAUACAUUUUCUCAUCUCCUUCCACUUAGAACAGAG
rnacentral:lncRNA from 1 species